AUUUACAUAGUAUAUAAUAAUAUAUAUGACUUCCAAUCAUAAGAACUAAGUUAGUGUAAAUA
rnacentral:tRNA from 1 species